GGAAAAUGAUGUUCACGGGCUGAAAAAUGAAACAGCGGAAGCUUUGUCCCCGCUCCACUCAGAGGGGUUACUUAGAGGUGAAUGGGUGACUCAAGGGCCCACGCCAGCAUGGGUGAAGGCUCCUGAAGGCUUCACCCCAGCUGUGCUUCACACAGCUUCACAGAUGAGCCUCCUCCUAGCAAACUACAACAUUCUAAUCUUCCCAGCCUUGAAAACUUCCUUCGCCUCCUCAGAGUCCCUCUCAGCCCCCUGGGAGGGGAUGUCUCCAUUUGGAGGUGCUACAUAAAGCUAUUCGAGAAGACGAGAUUAAACAUGAGGUUGGAACAGUUAUUGCCAACUGGUAGCUUGGUUAGGCUUUUGAUUUUGCAUUUCUAAUAACAACCCCACCACCACCAAGA
rnacentral:lncRNA from 1 species